rnacentral:tRNA from 1 species
GCCGCCUUAGCUCAGUCGGCCAGAGCGGCUCACUCGUAAUGAGCAGGUCGUCGGUUCGAUUCCGACAGGCGGCUCCA